rnacentral:rRNA from 1 species
UGGGGAAUAUUGCACAAUGGGCGCAAGCCUGAUGCAGCCAUGCCGCGUGUGUGAAGAAGGCCUUCGGGUUGUAAAGCACUUUCAGCGAGGAGGAAGGUGGUGAACUUAAUACGUUCAUCAAUUGACGUUACUCGCAAGAAGAAGCACCGGCUAACUCCGUGCCAGCAGCCGCGGUAAUACGGAGGGUGUCAAGCGUUAAUCGGAAGUUACUGGGCAGUAAAGCGCACGCAGGUCGGUUUGUUAAGUCAGAUGCUGAAAUCCCCGGGCUCAACCUGGGAACUGCAUUUGAAACUGGCAAGCUAGAGUCUCGUAGAGGGGGGUAGAAUUCCAGGUGUAGCGGUGAAAUGCGUAGAGAUCUGGAGGAAUACCGGUGGCGAAGGCGGCCCCCUGGACGAAGACUGACGCUCAGGUGCGAAAGCGUGGGGAGCAAACAGGAUUAGAUACCCUGGUAGUCCACGCUGUAAACGAUGUCGAUUUUGGAGGUUGUGCCCUUGAGGCGUGGCUUCCGGAGCUAACGCGUUAAAUCGACCGCCUGGGGAGUACGGCCGCAAGGUUAAAACUUAAAGGAAUUGACGGGGUCUAGCUG